UACGGGGGGGGCAAGCGUUGUUCGGAAUUACUGGGCGUAAAGGGCGCGUAGGCGGUUCGCUAAGUUGGAUGUGAAAACUCUGGGCUCAACCCAGAGCCUGCAUCCAAAACUGGCGGGCUAGAGUUCUGGAGGGGAUAGCGGAAUUCCUGGUGUAGCGGUGAAAUGCGUAGAUAUCAGGAGGAACACCGGUGGCGAAGACGGCUAUCUGGACAGAGUCUGACGCUGAGGCGCGAAAGCUAGGGGAGCAAACAGG
rnacentral:rRNA from 1 species